UAUUGUGAAAUAAAAGCAAAGAUUGAAGCAAGUGCAAAAUUAAUUUUAUUAUAACAUUUCGAGUGCAACAAUAUACUUUUUGCGGCAUUUAGGACGCAAUAUUCAAAAAGAAUUUCGAUGGUGCAGCCGGUGGUGGAACAUGGCUAAUCAUUACGAAAAUAUUUGCACGCUUCGCCCCUUAAUAACACGGGUGUCGCUCAUCCUACUGGUCGAUGCGAGACACCCGCAUCUGGGAAGAAUAUUGCAAUCAGUUGCAACCAGUCGUUUCGCCGCGUAAUAAAUUAUACUCGACCACUCGUUGUCGUGUCCGCAACGCUAAUUGGACGCUGAAGCGGGCUACAAAUGUUCGAGAUUUCUGUAAUCCUUGAACCGUUUUAUUCCGAAGAAUGCGCACUCGUAUGUACAAUUUAUUAAUGAGCUAAAGUAAAGAUUACGUGUUUUGAACAUA